rnacentral:tRNA from 1 species
GCCUCGAUAGUUUAGUGGCAGAACACAAGCCUGUCGCGCUUGAAACCCGGGUUCGAUUCUCGGUCGGGGCG